GCCUCCGUGGCGCAAUCGGCUAGCGCGUUCGGCUGUUAUCCGAAAGGUUGGUGGUUCGAGCCCAUCCGGGGGCG
rnacentral:tRNA from 1 species